CUAAGGCAGCGAAGUCAUUUGUUCUUUUAUUGAGAACUUGUAUGAGUGGAGUUAUGGAGGUUUUUUUAUAAACGGUUUUUUAGCUGAAUUUGAUUUAUCUGUGAAAAGUUAGAUUUGUUUUCAAAGACGAGAAGACCCCGAAAUCUUUAUUUUAAAAUAAUGGGUUUUAAUUUUUGUUUGGGGGAAAAGUUAAUUUGUAUUAUUUUUUUUUUUAGUGUGAACUUUGUUAGGUUAAGUGGAUAGAUACUUCGGGGUUAACAGAAUUAUUUUCUUUU
rnacentral:rRNA from 1 species